CAGUCGCCACGGUAAUACGUAGGUGGCAAGCGUUGUCCGGAAUUAUUGGGCGUAAAGGGCUCGCAGGCGGUUUCUUAAGUCUGAUGUGAAAGCCCCCGGCUCAACCGGGGAGGGUCAUUGGAAACCGGGAAACUUGAGUGCAGAAGAGGAGAGUGGAAUUCCACGUGUAGCGGUGAAAUGCGUAGAGAUGUGGAGGAACACCAGUGGCGAAGGCGACUCUCUGGUCUGUAACUGACGCUGAGGAGCGAAAGCGUGGGGAGCGAACAGGAUUAGAUACCCCUGUAGUCCCUGUCUCUUAUAC
rnacentral:rRNA from 1 species